CGCGCGCACACACACACACCCUACUUAUAGCAGAGUAGGUUGCCAUUAAAUUUAGUCUGGGAAACUAAUAUAAUCACUUUUACCAUAGUUUUAGAUCUUGGAACCAUAUCUAAUACUAAGCAUUUAAACUUGGAACUGAAGGCAGACAGAAAGAAAGAAAUCAUAUUCUGAAUUUAUUUGCAUCUUCUUGGCUAGACUAAGACGCUGUACUUCUCUGCCAAACAGAGUGAUAGCAAGUGGAUGAUUCUAGGGCUCCUCCACACUUUCUUAUUUUCUAAUGUACCAACUAUUAAUCAUAUGAAAUUCCAGUUUAGAUUAUCCAAAAUCCCUAGUGUACUGAAUCUUUAAUAUGGUCUUUUGAUAAUAUAGAUACUAAGUGAAGUAAGGAUGCCUCUGGGAUGAAAGUCGUGCAUGCUCAUUGACUUCUGGAAACUGCCUUCACAGCAGCACUACUUUGUACACUAUAGAGCUGGAGCAAGAGAGAUGCUAUUACUUGGGGUAUUUUAAGGUCAGUAUUUCAGUAGCUGCUAUUUUUUAUUACUUGUCAUGUAGACCAGUUCUUCUCUACUGAAAAACAUUAGCUUGAAAAACCAAAGGUUUGGUGGCCUGAAUAGACAACAAUAACCAAUAUCUUAACUUUGCCAGACACUUCUGUGGGAAACACGGAGCUGUGUCAGUUUUGCCAUUCUUACAAUUCUAGCCAAUGCACUAAAGGCAAAGAGUAGUGUUGCUUGGUAAUGAUAUGGGAGUGGUGAGAAUAUGACAUCCCUUGGUUCUAUUGAUUGCCAAAAGCGCCAAGUUUUUCUUUUGCCUCCACAAGAAAUGCAGCUUAGGCUUUCUGUAGUUCUCUGUGGUUUGCAUUCAGUCCCAAAUGCAGAGUGCAGGGUAAAAGAGUUAUUGUCAACCAACAGCAGGCAAGUCAGAAAAUGCCAGGCUGAUGUAAUGCAGGCUUCUAUUUCACUUCAGAAUGAAAAUUUAAUGUUUUUUGAGAGUCUGUUACAGAGCAAUUCAUUAUGGUUAUCUUAUGAAUGAUGGGUUCAGAGAACUAAUGUUUGUGCUACAUAUUUUUGUGGCUAUUUCAGAAAAUGCAUUACAAGAGGCAAACAGCCAACAGCAAGAAUCAUGCUUAAGACUAAGAAGUAGAACUGGUUCAGCACAAAAUGGAUUUUUGUUUAUUUCUUUGGGUCAAAGGUAAAAGGCUGUGUCAUAUAGGGCAUAUGCUUUUGGGAAGGGUGCCUGGUUAGGCACUGUUUUGUAAAGGUAUUUUCCUUGUCUUGUUUGCCCACUCUGGGCAAUCAAAUAAUUUUGUACUUUUUCCAGUUAGUAUUUCUCUAUAUGCUCAUUUUAAAAUAAAACAAUAGAAAAAUAGAGAAAAUUUGGAGGAAGGAAAAAAUAUAAAUGUAAACCCACAAACACAACUAUUGUUUACAUAUUGAUGUACCUCAUUCCAAUAAAUUCUUUUGUAGAUAAAAGCUUUAAACACAUGAUAUGAUUAUGAUAGUAACAGAUCAAUGUAGAAACAUAUAUAACCAUUAUUAGUACCAGAUUAAUACAAAUUAAGCUUUGCUUAACUGUUGUCAGAUUCAAUAGAAUCUGCUGACCCCAAAGGCCUUCAUAUAUAUAUACACAUACAUAUAUAUGUGUAUAUAUGUAUAUAUAUAUGCACACACACACAUAUUGCACACACGUGCACACAUAUAUAUACUUUUAAGUUCAGGGAUAUACUUACAGGCUUGUUACAUAUGUAAACGUUUGUCAUAGGGGUUCGUUAUACACAUUAUUUCAUUACCCAGCUAUUAAGCCUCGUACCAAUUAGUUAUUUUUCCUGAUCCUCUCCCUUCUCCCACCCUCCACCCUCCAAUAAGCCCCAAUGUGUGUUGUUCCUCUCUAUGUAUUGAUAUAUUCUAGUCAUUUAGUGCUCACUUAUAAGUGAGAACAUCAGAUAUUUGGUUUUCUCCUCCUGAGUUAGUAUGCUAAAGAUAAUGGCCUCCAGCUCCAUCCAUGUUCCUGCAUAGGACGUGAUCUUUUUCUUUUUGUGGCUGCAUAGUAUUCCAUGGUAUAUAUGAACCACAUUUUCUUUAUCCAAUCCACCAUUGAUGGGCAUUUAGUUGAUUCUAUGUCUUUGCUAUUAUGAAUAGUGCUGUGGUGAACAUACCCAUGCAUGUGUCUUUAUGAUAGAAUGAUUUAUAUUCCUUUGGGCACAUACCCACUAAUAGGAUUGCUGGAUCAAAUGGUAUUUCUGUCUUUAGGUCUUUGAGGAAUCACCACAUUGUCUUCUACAAUGGUUGAACUAAUUUAUACUCCCACCAAAGUGUAUAAGUAUUUUUUGCCACAACCUCACCAGCAUGUUAUUUUUUGACUUUUUAAUAGUAGCCAUUCUGACUGGUAUGAGAUGGUAUCUCAUUGUGGUUUUGAUUUGCAUUUCUCUAAUGAUCAGUGAUGUUGAGCUUUUUUUCAUGUUUGUUGGCCGCAUGUAUGUCUUCUUUUGAGAAGUGUCUGUUCAUGCCUUUGCCCACUUUUUAAUGGGGUUGCUUAUUUUUAUUCUGUAAAUUUGGUUAAGUUCCUUAUAGAUGAUGUAUAUUAGACCUUUGUCAGAUGUAUACUUUGCAAAAAUUUUCUCCUAUUCUGUAGGUUGUCUGUUUACUCUGUUGAGAGUUUAUUUUGCUGUGCAGAUGCUCUUUAGUUUAGCAAACAUCUUUUCAUAUUUAGAAGAGAUGUUUCCAGGUUCUCACUAACAUUAAUAUUCAAAUAAUAAUGUCCCAGAAUCCCACAUUAUUCAAUUAGUAGGAAGUCUUUUAGCAGGCUGCAUUCCUGAAGUAUUUCUGGGGUCCUAGAAGAAUGCUCAUAUGUUCCCAUAUCCAUCCUUGUUUUCACUUGUCACCAUAAUGCUCUGUCUACUCUAAGAUGUUGCUCAUAUGUUGCUGUCUCUUAUCACCUUUAAUCAGACUCCAGCCUGCAUUCUGUCUGUCCUGACUGCUGC
rnacentral:lncRNA from 10 species